rnacentral:sRNA from 1 species
AGACGACAAGAUUACGAGAUCUACAGCGAGA